UACAGAGGGUGCAAGCGUUGCUCGGAAUCAUUGGGCGUAAAGGGUUGGUAGGUGGUCUCAUUUGUCUGGGGUGAAAGCCUUCGGCUUAACCGAAGAAGUGCCUCAGAAACGGUGAGACUAGAGUCUUGGAGAGGUUAGCGGAAUUCCCGGUGUAGCGGUGAAAUGCGUAGAGAUCGGGAGGAACACCAGCGGCGAAGGCGGCUAACUGGACAAGUACUGACACUCAACAACGAAAGCGUGGGGAGCAAACAGG
rnacentral:rRNA from 1 species